UGGGGAAUUUUGGACAAUGGGGGAAACCCUGAUCCAGCCAUCCCGCGUGUGCGAUGAAGGCCUUCGGGUUGUAAAGCACUUUUGGCAGGAAAGAAACGUCGCGGGUUAAUACCCCGCGAAACUGACGGUACCUGCAGAAUAAGCACCGGCUAACUACGUGCCAGCAGCCGCGGUAAUACGUAGGGUGCAAGCGUUAAUCGGAAUUACUGGGCGUAAAGCGUGCGCAGGCGGUUCGGAAAGAAAGAUGUGAAAUCCCAGAGCUUAACUUUGGAACUGCAUUUUUAAACUACCGGGCUAGAGUGUGUCAGAGGGAGGUGGAAUUCCGCGUGUAGCAGUGAAAAUGCGUAGAUAUGCGGAGGAACACCGAUGGCGAAGGCAGCCUCCUGGGAUAACACUGACGCUCAUGCACGAAAAGCGUGGGGAGCAAAACAGGAUUAGAUACCCUGGUAGUCCACGCCCUAAAACGAUGUCAAACUAGCUGUUGGGGGCCUUCGGGCCUUGGUAGCGCAGCU
rnacentral:rRNA from 1 species